GAUGAACGCUGGCGGCGUGCCUAAUACAUGCAAGUCGAGCGGACAGAUGAGGAGCUUGCUCCUCUGACGUUAGCGGCGGACGGGUGAGUAACACGUGGAUAACCUACCUAUAAGACUGGGAUAACUUCGGGAAACCGGAGCUAAUCCCGGAUAAUAUAUUGAACCGCGUGGUUCAAUAGUGAAAGACGGUUUUGCUGUCACUUAUAGAUGGAUCCGCGCCGCAUUAGCUAGUUGGUAAGGUAACGGCUUACCAAGGCAACGAUGCGUAGCCGACCUGAGAGGGUGAUCGGCCACACUGGAACUGAGACACGGUCCAGACUCCUACGGGAGGCAGCAAUAGGGAAUCUUCCGCAAUGGGCGAAAGCCCGACGGAGCAACGCCGCGUGAGUGAUGAAGGUCUUCGGAUCGUAAAACUCUGUUAUUAGGGAAGAACAAAUGUGUAAGUAACUAUGCACGUCUUGACGGUACCUAAUCAGAAAGCCACGGCUAACUACGUG
rnacentral:rRNA from 1 species